UACGAAGGGGGCUAGCGUUGCUCGGAAUCACUGGGCGUAAAGCGCACGUAGGCGGCUUUUUAAGUCAGGGGUGAAAUCCUGGAGCUCAACUCCAGAACUGCCUUUGAUACUGGGAAGCUUGAGUCCGGGAGAGGUGAGUGGAACUCCGAGUGUAGAGGUGAAAUUCGUAGAUAUUAGGAAGAAACACCAGUGGCGAAGGCGGCUCACUGGCCCGGUACUGACGCUGAGG
rnacentral:rRNA from 1 species